UUUACUACAGCUGGCCUAUCAUGUCCUGCCUGAUCUUUUUGAUCACGCCCACCACACCAAUGCCCGCCUUCCUGCUUCCCUAUAAAAACGUCCUGCCGCCCAGCAAUGUCAGACACUGCUGGACGGCAGUGGUACCAGCGGCACGUCCUUGGGCCAUACUGAGUGCCUAUUCCAUGCUGGAGCUCUGCUAGCUCUCUACUGACACCUUUGGCCAAAUAAAAUAUUGACACACUUCUGCAAACCUCAGGUUUUUUAUAUUAUUACAUGUUACCUUGGGACUAUAAGGGCCUGAGAUCUUGCUAUACGCGAUUCUGCACCGUUGGCUUCCUUCCUCUUAAUUCCAUCUAGAGGAGUCUUCUGCGUCCUGACAGUGGUGUCCUUUUUCUGGGGUGUGCAGGGUUGAUUAAGCGCUGUGAGUGAAAAGUGGUUCUUAUAUCUGUUGACUACAUAUACUUCGGCCCCUGAUGAAGGGUAAUCCGAAACGCGUAGGGCCGUGUAUGUCUUCAUGGACUUUGCUUUUCAAUGACACCCAUUUAUGUAUUGUUUUUAAACAAUUUUGUGUGAUAUAUGUGUAUAAUUUUCAUUUUUGCAUAUUAAAAUACCCAAUUUUUUGAUUA